UAUAUAUAUAUAUAUAUAUAUAUAUGUGUGUGUGUGUGUGUGUGAAACUAAUAAAUAAGUCGGUAUAUAGUGAUUUAUAUAUAAGGCAAUAUAUAGCGUUAAAUAAAGAUAUUUGAAAAAAUAGUAAAUUUUUUAAAACUCAAUUAAAAAUUUUACCCUCCAGAUAAAUAUCAGUCAUAGGAUAUUUUAAAUCAAUACCUACAAAUCAAUUUAAGAUCUCAUCAUAUACGAGAGAUCUCAUUGGAACCAUUCUCUACAUACGUGCAUCUCGAAAUGUCACAAGUGAGAUUAAAGUGAUGAGCCAAUUCAAAGUAAUGAAAACAAAGCAAAAUAAUUAUAUAUGCAUAUACAAAGAGUGUCUCAUAUGAAUUUGCAAAGAAAUUAAGACUUACAAAGAAGAGCUGAUAUUGAGUUGAAGAAAUGAUUUUGAUUUGAUCAGAUGGUGUUUUCUCCAACUGUAUUUAUAGAUACAUUUGAGGGGCUACUUCGUCCAAGACCCCGUGCUUAAUUGUGGCCG
rnacentral:lncRNA from 1 species